UGACCCUGAGGAGGGGAGGCAUGUUGGCAGAGGCAUCAGAAAACCCCCUGGAGAGUCUGGGUCUUGGCACCUGCUGGGACCGGCCUCAGGGAGGAGCUUCCUGACCUCAGAGGAGCCGCCCUGCAGUUCUCCAGGUCUCAGUGUCCUCAUUUACAAGACAAGAAUAGCUGCGCCCACCACACUCAUAAGGCUGCUCAGAUGGUGCUUGGCACAUGGCACACAGUUGAGCCGGUCUGAAAGAACUGCCAGGAGACAUCCUGUUGGCCAUGAUGUUUGAAUGAUGAUUUCACAGACCUAGAGCUUUCCAAGAAUGGGAAUUACAGGCACGAGCUAAGGAUGUCUUUUACACAUCAGUCUUUGGAGCACCUCUUUCCCAUUUCUACUUCUUUUCGUGCUAUGGAUAGAACUCAGUGCUCAUACAUACCAGGCAAGUGUCUCCCACUGAGCCACACCCCUGCCUCUCCGGUUAGUUAUUCUGUGAGGCAGGAAAGAUACAUAUGGACCCAUCAAACAGAUAAAGAGAUUAAGAUCCAGAGGCCUCAGGGCUUGCCUAAGGGGCCAGUUUAAUAAAGCAAUAGUCGUUUGUCAUGCUACCUCAGGGAAUGAUGACCAUAGAAGCUUUACUUCAAGGUGCUCUGGGGACAAUGUCUGGGUCAGGAUCUAGGUCUGUCUCAGUGGGACUCCCCAGGGAGGAGAGAGGAAAGGUCUAUCUGGGAUGAUACCUAGGCAAGCCCUCUGAAAGGUGAGUCUGAGGUCUCCUGAGCUGUCUUGAAGCAGAUACUUUGCUACACUCCUGGGCCUGGUACCUUUACCUGCAGGAGGAGAAUGGAGAGUCCCCGAAAGCAGGCAGGAAUCAGACAGAGCCAGUGAGAGGCCAGUUGCAUGUUCACAUCUGGGACCUGCCUGUCUUCCUGAGCACGGCUUGACUUUUUCACCAGGUGCUAACACCAUCCCAAUGUCUAGACCCCACUAAGGUCCUGUGUGUGGGUGCAUGAAGAGACAUGAAGCCCAGUGGUGGGGCCAGGGAGUUUCUAGCAGGGAGGGGGCACCAGAUCCUUCUGAACCAGGCAUGCCUGGUUCCAGGGUAGUCUUCACUGAGAGUCCCUGCCAGGGUGGAGCAGUGAGGGUGGGCAGUCAUGAUGGGAAGAGGAGGACCAGGCCAUGAGGGGCUGUGGGGACAGUAGAGGAGUUCAAGGUGC